AAGCUUAUUGUUAUGGGAUAAAUUGGUUAAAAUAUCAUCCUUCAGGGGCCCCUGGGUGGCUCCUUUGGUUAAGCAUUCGACUUUGGCUCAGGUCAUGAUCUCCUGCUUCAUGAGCUCAAGCCCCCCAUCCGGCUCUGUGAAGACAGCUCGGAGCCUGGAGCCUGUUUCAGAUUCUGUGUCUCCCUCUUUCUGCCCCUCCCUGCUCGUGCCCUGCCUCUCUCUGUCUCAAAAAUAAAUGAACGCUAAAAAUAUUUUAAAAGAUCCCAUCAUCCGUCAGCAGCAUCCCUGGCCUCUACCUAGUAGAUGCCUAUAGUAUCCUUCCAGUUGUGACGAUACAAACGUCACAAGUGUUAGCAAAUCCACCGCCCCCCCCCCCCGCCAGGGGUGUGGGUGCAGAUCGUCCCCAGUUGAGAACCAUUUGCCUUAAACAAAGGCUUGAUUGAGUGGGAGGGCCGGUAUGAGAUAGAAAGUUAAAGAACUUUCUCACAAAUAAAAAACGGCCCCUCUAAUUUUGCCAGCUACGUAUUUGUGUGCGUGCGUGUACUUACUCAUCAUUGUUGGCUGAGUUAGAGGAAAGUAGACAAGCUGAUUCUUCAUGCUAUAAGGAGCUGGUGCAGAGGAUGAGACGACAAGGUCAUAGGAAGGUCGGAAAGAACAAACAGCGGAAGACCUCAGAAGUGUGAGGAGCAGAGACAACAACAGCAGCGGCACAGAAUUUCUGCCCGUGGAGUUUCUCUGAAGAAGGUGACUGGUUUCAAGAGCCGGGCGGUGUUUUCAAAUGACAGUUCAGCCCCUUUGAGAGUGACAUCAUGGCAAGAGUGAUGGUAUUAACUCCAGUGUUGGUACCAGAGGAUGGCAGGGACUCAGAUGCCUGGAAAAAAUGGCCCGCGUACCAGCUGGGGUUGCCACCCUGGAACCACGACGCUUAGCCUUUCUUCUGUUACGAGACUGUGGAGACUGUUGGAGUCUCAAGGCUACGAGGGGCGUGGUUUUAGCCUCAUUUUAAAUGAUCGUGGAAACAGGAUUGAGAGGGUAAGUAACUUUGCUUGAGGUCACUAAGCCUCAGAUUUGGGAUUUGACUUGACUAUGCCACUUUUCAAAGUAAUCGUAAUAAUGACAAAAAUAAUAGGGGCAAUAUGGAGUAAGCACCCAAUAAAAG
rnacentral:lncRNA from 1 species